AAAAUAGCAUUAAAAUAACAGACGACAAAAGCAUUAUACAGUGUUUUGUUUUUCACAAAGAGGGCGCCAUUUUGAAAAUACGACAGCGUUUUAUCUCUACGACAGGAAGAUGAUCUGCCAUAAGUCACUUCCAGUAAGGAGUGCCUUUCCUGUCUAGUGAAAGAUGUUUUUCUCAGAAAUAACAUCAAUAAAUGUAUUUAUGUCAAGAACAUUAUCUUCAAAUAACAGUAGGAAGACCAUUAUUUGUUGUUGGUAGAGGCGGUGGCUGAGGAACAUCACCUCCACACGCACCAGGUGGGUUGUUUGAUUCACUUCCGUCGAAAACAACACCCGGCGCCAUGACGAUAGGUCACAGCUCCUGUAAACAAAAGUUCAUAUACUUUAUUUUAAAUUAUACAAUGGUUUAAUGGACUUAAAUAACUUUUUAUCUUUAAAAAGUAGCGAUAUAUGAGAUUUAUAGAGAGUAAACAUUCUCAAAUUACUUCUUGGAAUGAUAAAUUUGUUGGAAUUUAUACCUCGCACUUGCUUAGCCAAAUCACUGUCACAUAAAUGACAACAAUGUUCUAACAAACUGUAAAAAUACACGUCGACCUUCUGACUUAUGCAAAUCUUAUCUCUGUUCGAUUUAAAAUCAAAAUUGUCAUUAAUACAAUUACUUUAAAACUUGACAUUAAGCCAUAGAAUAAUUAAUGAUUUAUGCAUUUUUUUAAAAUUAUUACAGUAUGUAUUUCAGGUAAGGUGAAAGUAUAUCAGCUCGUGAUUAUCACGUGAUUCUAUAUAUAUCGUUGUCUCUACUUUCUUUAAUACUUUCCCUGUUCUAUUUUUAGAAUGUCGCUGGCAAGUAUUGCUUGUAUGACAAAUUCGAUUAGUAAUUCACAUUUUAUAUAAUUUUUUUCGCUAAUUAAUAUUUUAAAAGAUAAUUUUAAAUGUAGUAAAAAUUCUAAAACGGACAUUAAACAUUUUAUAAAAUUACACACUUAAAUUUUGCUCCUCAAUAAAUUAGCUAAUUUUAAAAUUGAUUUUUAAGUGUGUUUUCUUUAAUCUAACUCUUUAAGCUCCCACUUAAAAUCAGGAUAGUUUACUUCAUAUAAGAACAAUAAUAUAUUCCUGUAAAGCUUACUUCACUGCAUAAAUAAACUGCCAACAGGAAAGCUUACUAUCAACACAAUUUUCUUAUAACGACAGAUUUUUUAAAUAAUUAUUUGACAUAUAAAUAAUAAAUCGAAUGUAAAACCCUGAAUCUUCGUAUAUAUAUUAGUCAUCAUAGCAACAAAAAUGCUUUAGAUACACUGACUCUAAGCCCUACUUUUCCCAACAGACAAUUUGGCAAUGUUACUCACUUUCUAUUUCUGAGGAGUCAUACAAUUCAGGAAUUACAAAUUUCCACACAUGUUAAGUUACAGAAACUAUGAAACAAUUAAAUAUCGUACUUGAAAACUGUAAAUUUUUAAGUUAAAAGGAGACUUAAACAUCUACAGUGCUAGCUUGUAUAUAGUUCUUACAUAUGUAAAUUAUUUAAUAAAAAACAAACUUCAGUACAGGCUCAAUUCUUUAAUUAGUUAAAUAUUUGCACUGUAGACAUUAGAAACAAUAGUAAGGCCACGAAUAACUUACUCAGCAAGCAUUCUUUUAUAUGAUACUGCAGUGCCUUUAUCAAACUAUUGGCAAGUUAUUUCACAUAUUAAGAAAUUUUGUACGUUAUAGAAUAUUUCAGCAGUGUAUGAACCAACAUCUAACAAUAAUAAAUUAUAAAAUAUCCUAAUUUUUAUCCAAAAAAAGCACUUUAAUGUUAACUUAACUCUAUAACACAAUCUCCCACAACGUUUCUGACACCUUUACACACAGAAAUUGCAAUAAAAAGUCAAGUCAAACUUACACUUUA
rnacentral:lncRNA from 1 species